AUGCCCGUGUCCCAUGGCCCCACCUCCCCCAACCCCUGCAUAUAUGGACUGCUAACUGAGCCCCUGAGUCCUGAGUUGGUGGCAGCUGCAUCUGCUGUGGCAGAUUCUCUCCCUUUUGACAAGGAAACCACCAAGUCAGAGCUGCUGAGGCAGCUCCAGCAGCAUGAGGAAGCGUCAAGGGCACAGAGAGAUGCAAAGCGACCUAAAAUUAGACUUAGGGAAAAUAUAUUCACGGGGAAAAGAGUUAAUAUUUUUGACCUGACGGCAGUUACUAAAGACACACCUGAAACCGGAGCGGGCGGCGAGGGACCUGCGGCUUACGUCCCCACCCCCUUCCCCGGCUCGCCGGAGACCGAUAAGCCCGCCUCCUCCCCCGGCCGGCCCUGGGGCCGUGUCCCCGGGGCAACUGCAGCCGAGGCCUGGGCUUCUGCCUGCAGGUGUCUGCGGCGAGGCCCUCGGGGACAGCCCGAUUUGGCCUCAUGGUGGGUCUCGGGGCCAAGCGGCCUGCGUUCUCUGGUGCUGGUGGUGCUGCUGGUAGUGAUCGUCGUCCCUCGCCUUCAACUACUGGAACGUCUCUUCUGCCACGUCCUGCUUCAGGAGGAGGAGGCCGAGCUGCAGGGCCAGGUCCCGCGCACCGAAGUGGCCCGCGGGCGGCUGGAAAAGCGCAAUUGGGACCUCUUGCUGUUGGUGGACACGCACAAGAAACAGAUCACCAGAAGGAGGCCGACUGCGGCCGCCUCAGCAGCCGGCCGCAGGUCAGAGAGGGCCUGGGGAAGAGAUGCGAGGAUGACAAGGUUAAACUAUAGAACAACAUAUCAUAUCAGAUGGCAGACAUACCUCAUUUAAAGGAGCACCUUGCUGAGCUUCCUCAGGAGUUUCUUCCACAAGAAGACCAACUUCAGGACUAUAGGAAGAACAAUACUUACCUUGUGAAGAGGUUAGAAUAUGAAAGUUUUCAGUGUGAACAGCAGAUCAAGGAAAUGAGAGCACAGCAUGAAGAAAAUAUUAAAAAGUUAGCAGACCAGUUUUUACAGGAACAAAAGCAAGAGGCCCACAAGAUUCAAUCAAAUGACAGAAAAGAAUUGGGUAUAAACAAUCAAGUAGUACCUAAAAAUAUUCCAAAAGUAGCUGAGAAUGUUGCAGAUAAGAAUGAAGAACCCUCAAGCAAUCAUAUUCUACAUGGGAAAGAACAAAUCAAAAGAGGUGGUGAUGCAGGGAUGCCUGGAAUAGAAGAGAAUGACCUAGCAAAAGCUGAUGAUCUUCCCUCUGCUUUAAGAAAGCCUCCUAUUUCAGUUUCUCAACAUGGAAGUCAUCAAGCCAUCUCCCAGCUUCCAACUGGACAACCUCUCUCCCCAAAUAUGCCUCCAGAUUCACACGUAAACCACAGUGGAAACCCUGGUACUUCAAAACAGAAGCCUCCCAGUCCUCUUCAGCAUUUAAUUCCAGGCUCAAACUCGGACAGUGAACCCAGAAUUCAAACAGAUACACUAAAGCGAGCUAGCAAGGAUAGAGUCAGUGAUUUCCAUAAAUUGAAGCAAAGCUGAUUCUUUGAUGAGAAUGAAUCCCCUGUUGAUCUGCAGCAUGGCCCUAAACUGGCGGAUUAUGAUGGGGAUGAUGGUAACGUAGGUGAGUAUGAGGCAGACGAGCAGGCUGAGCUGGCUUACAAUGAGGAAGAAGUUGGUGAUGGUGGAUCGGAAGACAUCCAAGAUGAUGAAGAACGAGAGCUUCAAAUAGAUCCUGCAGACUAUGGAAAGCAACAUUUCAAUGAUGUCCUUUAAGUCCUAAAGGAACAUUUCAGAAAACCUAAAGUGCUGUAAAAUGAACUCAUUCUGCUUUGUCCUUUCUGACUUUUGUUGUAAAGAUGAGUUGUAUCCGUUGUAAAGACACAUUGAGAUAGAAUUAAGGAAAAACUUUAAUGAAGGAAUGUACCCAUGUACAUAUGUGAACUUUUUCAUAUUUUAUUAUCAAGGCAUAGACUUUUUUGGUUAUGAUACAGUUAAGCAAAAAACAGCUAAUCUUUGCAUCUAAAGCAAACUAACAUAUAUUUCACAU